UUAUUUCUUUUAAAAUUUUAUCGAUAAUUAUUUGUCAAGAAAAAGUAUUACUUUGCAAUAAAAAUCCAAAAAUGCAUAUUCAAAUUUUUGUUUUGAAUUCUGUAAUUUAUUUAUUUCAUCUAAUUUAAUUUAUUAAUUUUAAAAUUAUAUUUUAAAAAUAUUUCCAACCUUUAGAGUUUCACCUUUCUUAUGGCAUGAUUAUUAAUAUGUGUGCUUAUAUAUAUAUAUAUAUAUAUAUAUAUACAUUGAAAUAUUGUAAACAUUCCCAUGCCAUACUUUGCAUGAGUAAUUUUUUGUACAAACAAACAAGGAAUUUUGAAUUGUUUGUACAAAGAAUGUUUAUCAAUGAUAUUUUUAUUUAUUUAUUUAAUUUUUUGAAUAUAUAUAAAAAACUAAACCAUCUUUUUAUGUUCAUUUUUUUAUAGUUAAAUUGCAUCAUUGCUAGCCAUAGGGACAAAGGAUGCAUAAUAAACCUGUGAGGCUUGUGAAGGCAUUAACGUUGCCCGAACUAUUUCAAGUCCAACUACUUCACCAAACACAAACACCAACAUUUAUGCAGUUAUUGAUCCUAAUGGUUGGUGAACAGUAGAGCUUCUAUCUUGCACAACUUUGAUUGAACAUUUAAAUAAUAUAGUAUAGAACUUUCUAAUAAUAAUUUAUCCAUGAUUAUUGAUUUUAUUUUUUAUAUGUAUAUAAUAUCUCUCAUUAUUUUUAGUGAUUUGAAGCAUUUGUAUCAUGAUUUGUGGAAUUGAUGUUGCCAACAAUUGUAUUGGAUAGGUAUGGAUCAACAAUGGUGACUUCACCAAGGAACUUGAGCUUGUUUCAUUUGCAUAUGAGUUUAAAUGCACCACUUAUUUGUAAGAUAUUGAUCCCAACCAAAAUAUAAAUACAUAAAUAAAUUAAUAAAUAAAAUAUAAAAAACCAUAGCCUCUUGAAAUAUUAUAUAUUCAAAUCAAACAUUAUAUUUCAGUAAAAAUAUAUUCAUUUCUUAUUUAAUAUUAUUUCACUCUUAAUGAAAUAAAAUUUGAACAUAUGCUUCAAUUCAAAAAUGUAAAUAACAUACUUCAAGAAUACUGCAUAGAAAAACCCAUUACGAUUUUCUUUUUUGAUUACUGUUUCAAGCAAAUGGAACAUUCUUUGUACAAACAAACAAGGAAUAAAAUAUGUUCAGAUUUCAAUGACCAAAAUUAACUAGAGGAUAGUAAUCAGUUUCACCAAAUAAAUAAUAACCCAAAUCCCAUCUAUAAAAUUCCAGUUCAUUAUGAUGGAAAAUGGCACAACCAUAAACCUCUUGCAACUUCAGCAUUUAUGUGUGUGUAUAUAUAUAUAUAUAUAUAUUUAUAGAAAUUCAUGCUUGACCUUA
rnacentral:lncRNA from 1 species